rnacentral:rRNA from 1 species
UACGUAGGGACCAAGCGUUGUCCGGAAUCAUUGGGCGUAAAGAGCGUGUAGGCGGCUUGUUAAGUCUUGCGUGAAAUCUCGGGGCUCAACCCCGAGCGGUCGUGAGAAACUGGCAGGCUAGAGUGCGGGAGAGGAGAGUGGAAUUCCUGGUGUAGCGGUGAAAUGCGCAGAUAUCAGGAAGAACACCCGUGGCGAAGGCAGCACUCUGGGACGUGACUGACGCUGAGACGCGAAAGCGUGGGGAGCAAACAGG